GACGAACGCUGGCGGCGUGCUUAACACAUGCAAGUCGAGCGAUGAAGCACCUUCGGGUGUGAAUUAGCGGCGAACGGGUGAGGAACACGUGAGAAAUCUGCCUUCAACACUGGGAUAACUCCGGGAAACCGGGGCUAAUACCGGAUAUGAAACCUGCGGGCAUCCGCGGGUUUGGAAAGUUUUUCGGUUGAAGAUGAUCUCGCGGCCUAUCAGCUUGUUGGUGAGGUAAUGGCUCACCAAGGCGACGACGGGUAGCCGGCCUGAGAGGGCGACCGGCCACACUGGGACUGAGACACGGCCCAGACUCCUACGGAGGCAGCAGUGGGGAAUAUUGGGCAAUGGAGGAAACUCUGACCCAGCGACGCCGCGUGCGGGAUGAAGGCCUUGGUGUAACCGCGUUCAGCAGGAGAAGCGAAGUGACGGUACCUGCAG
rnacentral:rRNA from 1 species